rnacentral:rRNA from 1 species
GKAGGGGGCAAGCGUUGUCCGGAUUUAUUGGGCGUAWAGAGSGUGUAGGCGGCCAGUCAGGUCCGUUGUGAAAACUCGAGGCUCRACCUCGAGACGCCGAUGGAAACCGACUGGCUAGAGUCCGGAAGAGGAGAGUGGAAUUCCCGGUGUAGCGGUGAAAUGCGCAGAUAUCGGGAAGAACACCCGUGGCUAAGGCGGCUCUCUAGUACGGUACUGACGCUGAGACGCGAAAGCGUGGGGAGCGAACAGGAUUAGAUACCCUGGUAGUCCACGCCGUAAACGAUGGGUGCUAGGUGUGGGGGGUGUSGACUCCCUCCGUGCCGAAGCUAACGCAUUAAGCACCCCGCCUGGGGAGUACGGCCGCAAGGCUA